UUUCUGGUGCAAAUAUACUAUUUGGAAACGAGCACAUCCGGGAGGGCACGUUUCACUUUCUAAUCAGCCUUGUAGGGAGUUAAAAUUUGGGAGCAGCCACAGAAGGGUAUUUUUUGAGGGGAGGGCUUGGAAGAAAAAAGAUUGGUGGAAAAAACUGCUGCCGGAGUAAAUCUCUCUAGCUUGAAUUACGGAGAUGUAGAGCCCAGGCUGGCAUAAUAAAUCAGGAAGCACGAAAGCGACUUAAUAGCCAAUAUAAGAGUUUCCUUCCUGAAAGCCUAAUUUCUAGUUGGUUUGCCUAAUAUGUAGUUUCAUGCGAAAUGCCUGUCCUAUUAUUGCACAGAAAUUAGCCCCUCUUCUCAUCGCCAGUUUUACGUUGGAUAUGUCUGCACACAAAACAUGAAAACGUAUUUUCUGUAGAAUGCGGCAGUUUUCCCCAGUCUGGUGUUAGGUUGACUGUGGAUAAUAAGGAAGAUGGUCCAUCGCAUUUGAAGGACAUGAAGUUUGGAUCGGCUGAAAGAGGAAGACUGCCCCUGCGCCUAAGGUGUCUUCAACUACCUAAAAAUGAUGCUGUGACAAAGUUGAGAAACUGAAAAGGUGAAUUUAAAGCCAGAGCCCAGAGGAGGACAUGGAACAGAACAGGAAAUCAUACACUAAGCAACAACAAGAACACUCGGCUGUUUUCUUUUUCAGUACCUUACAGAAAUCCACCAGUUCAUCUGUGUCUUAAGGAGGCUACUUAGCUAGAUAGAAAUUUAAU